AUGGCGCCGAAGAAGACGCCGAAGGGCAAGUCGGGCUUCUUCGGCGUGAGGCAGAAGCCCUCCGACAACUGGGGUGUGGAGUUCUCCGACGCCGGAAGGCGUUGGUGGAUCAGCACGUACCCCUCCGCCCACGAGGCCGCGCGUGCCUACGACGUGGCGGUGUGGCGUGCCGUGAGGCCUCGAUCGCACCUCAACUUUCCAGAGAUCGAGAGUCGGGUGGUAGCGGAGAUGCUUGUGCCACAGGGCAUCAACAUGAAGGAGAUCACGACGACGAAGAAGAAGAAGAUGAAGAAGCCGUCGGUUGUCGUCAGUGCUGGCGAGACCGAUGAGGAGGCGAUGGCGAGGUUUGCUCGGGAGCAUCCGGAGUACGUCCAGGCCGAGCUGGAGUACUACUGGAAGCGUGAGGCGGAGCAGAAGAAGAAGGGGCCGAAGAAGGAGGAUGAGGCCGGUCCCUCGACGGUGAUCCCCAUCGAGUCCUCUUCCGAGGAGGACUGGGCAGACUUCUCGGAGGAGGAGGAGGAGGAGGAGGAGGGGUGCGACGACCCGACGAAGGAGGAGUUAUGGGAGCAGUUCCGUAGCUCCGAUGAGGAGUAG
rnacentral:rRNA from 1 species